rnacentral:rRNA from 1 species
UCAAGUUCUGAUCCAGAGUACCACGAGACACGUGAAACCUUGUGGGAAGCAGGGAGGACCACCUCCCAAGGCUAAAUACUACCUGAUGACCGAUAGUGAAGCAGUACCGGGAGGGAAAGGUGAAAAGAACCCCGGGAGGGGAGUGAAAUAGAACCUGAAACCAUGUGCCUACAACCGAUCAAAGCACCUUAUGUGUGUGAUGAUGUGCUUUUUGUAGAACGAGCCAACGAGUUACGG